AGAGUAUAGCUCAGCUGUAGAGUGCCUGCUUAGCACGCAUGAGGUCCUGGGUUCAAUCCCCAGCACCUCCA
rnacentral:tRNA from 1 species